rnacentral:tmRNA from 1 species
GGGGGUGACCAGGUUUCGACCGGGUAGUGGAAGCACAGAUUGCAUGCCGUGGUUGAUCUGCAGGCCACGUAAAAAGCAGGUCAAACAACAACUGCUGAACCGCAGUUUUCUUUGGCUGCCUAGAAAUAGGCGCCACUGUUUCAUUAUCUUCUCCUGAGAGAUGAUGGGGCGGUAGUAAUUCGGGAUCGCUUGGCCCUGUGACUGGGUAACUGGUCGUGACGGAGGCGGAUCAAGCUAAAAAAAACAGCCGGAUAGCCUGAAAAGUGUCCUGCCUAACGGAAACUUGAAGGCGAACGCGCAAGGAAGAAACCGCAAGGAAUCUGUCCGGGCAAAAAAGGAGAGGACAAGCAUGUAGAGAUCGGUGUGGAAGCAUUUCGGGACCGGGGUUCGAUUCCCCGCGCCUCCACUU